rnacentral:rRNA from 1 species
UAUCAAUAACGAGGAAAAGAACCCACAGGAUUGCCCCAGUACCGGCGAGUGAAGCGGCACCAGCUCAAAUUUGAAAUUCUGCCCCCAGGGCCCGAGUUGUAAUUUGCAGAGGAUGCUUUGGCGAGGUGCCUUCCGAGUUCCCUGGACGGACGCCAUAGAGGGUGAGAGCCCCGUCUGGUCGGACACCGAGCCUGUGUAAAGCUCCUUCGACGAGUCGAGUAGUUUGGGAAUGCUGCUCAAAAUGGGAGGUAUAUGUCUUCUAAAGCUAAAUAUUGGCCAGAGACCGAUAGCGCACAAGUAGAGUGAUCGAAAGAUGAAAAGCACUUUGAAAAGAGGGUUAAAAAGUACGUGAAAUUGUUGAAAGGGAAGCGCCUAUGACCAGACUUGGGCCCGGUGAAUCAUCCAGCGUUCUCGCUGGUGCACUUUGCCGGGCACAGGCCAGCAUCAGUUUGGCGCGGGGGACAAAGGCUUCGGGAAUGUAGCUCCCUCGGGAGUGUUAUAGCCCGCUGCGCAAUGCCCUGCGCCGGACUGAGGUACGCGCAUCGCAAGGAUGCGGCGUAA